rnacentral:rRNA from 1 species
AGUGAACGCUGGCGGUAGGCCUAACACAUGCAAGUCGAACGGCAGCACAGUAAGAGCUUGCUCUUACGGGUGGCGAGUGGCGGACGGGUGAGGAAUACAUCGGAAUCUACUUUUUCGUGGGGGAUAACGUAGGGAAACUUACGCUAAUACCGCAUACGACCUACGGGUGAAAGCAGGGGAUCUUCGGACCUUGCGCGAUUGAAUGAGCCGAUGUCGGAUUAGCUAGUUGGCGGGGUAAAGGCCCACCAAGGCGACGAUCCGUAGCUGGUCUGAGAGGAUGAUCAGCCACACUGGAACUGAGACACGGUCCAGACUCCUACGGGAGGCAGCAGUGGGGAAUAUUGGACAAUGGGCGCAAGCCUGAUCCAGCCAUACCGCGUGGGUGAAGAAGGCCUUCGGGUUGUAAAGCCCUUUUGUUGGGAAAGGAAAGCAGCAGGUUAAUACCCCGCUGUUCUGACGGUACCCAAAGAAUAGGCACCGGCUAACUUCGUG